CAAGAUAUUGAGUAGAGUUCCAUGUGCUAUUUGGUAAAUCCUUGUCCCUCACCAGUGCGUUUCUAGGCCUUGCCUAGGCCAAGGGACCCUCAGCUCCUAGGGGGCAGGGCCUGGCCCAUAGCAGGAGCUUGAGUCCGCCCCCUCUCCCACCCCUCCCAGCCCCUCCUUGGGCACCCCUCGGGCCAGCAAGCCCCCAGGCCUGGCUCCUGCCCACCUUGUUCUCAGACCCCAGGGCACAGUCUGUGAUUCCCCCUGCUCCUGGAGUGUGGGCUGAGCCAUCGUCGGAGGACAGGAGCCCCCGCUCCUGCCCGCCUGCCCGCCCAGUCCCAGAACAGUGCUCAGGGCCUUGUUUGGCAUGCAGUUAGCACCAUGGGAACUGCAGGAAUCUGAGCAGGACCCGGCUCAGCCCACCCGGAGUGUCAAGCCCUCCAUGUGCCCACAUCAUUCGUUUCUGAGCCCUUUCUUUAAGAAAUAAAUACAUAAAAGUCAAAUGUUUUGAGAAUUGAAUCUUAGCCUCUUUCUUUUUAUCAAGGCCUCACCAUUAGCACCUGAAUCUUGUUUUAUUUUGCUUCUCAAGCUGAAAAUAUACUUCUGCUGACAUGUUUAUAUCUUCUCUGUAUGUAAGUUAAUCAGUCAAAACCACUAGUGGCCCCACUGUGCUCACAGCCCUGGGCCAGGCCCUUGCCCAGCCAAGCCCAUGGGUCCGCCGAGGGCACAGGUUGCUCUGCACACAGAAAGGCCUGUUCCAGGGUCUCCUCCGGGAUUCCACCUGAGCCGGAGCCCAGCUCCACCUCUCUGACUACAGAUGCGUUCCUGUGGCUGGGAUUUUUAACACAGCUACGUAUUUCUCACAAUAUCACUGACCUUCGUCUGUCACCUUUCACUCCGAUCCAUGCGCUUGCUAUCUGAUAGCCCCGUUCUGUUUCCUGGAUUUCUUAAUUCACUGCCUUUCUCACAAUUUAUGUUCAUUUCUCAGAAGAGGGUGAUGCUGAUUGUUUGCUGUGAAACUAGCUCUGGACAAAGUUCACAGAACCAGUUGAAACGGUUGCCUAAAGCCAUGUUUCUUCUCUCGAGAAGCAUGGCUGGUCCUGGCACUGCACACCUUUCUGAAACAGACUCGGGACGACGUCGGCGGCGGGAAUAUUGAGUGUGCCCCAGGCUCAGCGCGAGGUGCUCUGCGGCGUUACUGCGUGCAGACCUGCCUGCUUUAUGCCCGCACCCCUUUUCUCCAGGUUUCUCGGGAAGAAGUCCACACUCUAGGUCUUCUCUCCAACAAGUUCUUCCUGAGACUAUGAAAAUUUAUCCACCCUCUGCAAAUGAAAGGCAUCUACAGUGGCAUUCAGAAAAUUACUUUGGCUUGGUCAAUUCUAUAAUGCUUCACAAAAUGCUCCCACGCAGAGAGCACCUUCAGGUGCAUUUACUUGUUUUCCCAACAGAGCCGGUUAGUGUCCCGCACCAGUGCUCAGCUGACCUGGAACUCAGGUCCAACUCGUAGUCCAGUGCUCUUUGCUCUACACCACGUCAGAACCAACAGGCUCUCCGUGUGAGCAAAACAAAGAUAACCGCCAAAAUAAUUUGGGCACAAAGGUCGAAGCAGUGUUGUCAUGUGACACAACCAGGUCCCAGCAGAUUGAUUUAUGAUUUAAUAAAGCGGAAUUGAAUCACAGAAUCACAGGCCGCAGUUACCUGGUCUCCACAUGAUCCACUCACACAGGAAAGUGUCAUUCUUCGAGGAAGGUGGCUCUGAAACUGUCUUGAGGCUUGUAGACUGGAGCUGGUUGUCAAAGAUCCACUGACGAGGCCCAGAGAAGCAGUGGGCAGCAGGGCAGCAGGUGUUUGUUGCCCAGAUCCUGCUCAGCAAAACACUACUGUAAAGUUGUGCAUAUUUCACAGAAUAUGCGUGAGACAUCCUCUGUCUUUUACUGCCCGUUGUUGUGGCUGAUCAGCAAGUCAGAGAGAACGUUCUACAUGACACUUUCUAGGAAACCAGUGGGAUUUAACUGGUCCAUUAGAGCUGAAGAUUCUAGAAAUGUCAAGUGCUGCCUCACAGAGGGUUGAAUAUGUAUUGGGUAUUUAUAGUAGGUAAUUAUAACUUCAUCAGGAAGGCUCCAAACCCCUGGGAAUAACCGGGAUUCCAGGUAAGGGAGAGUAUUUCUGUUCCCCAAAAAGAGGCCCCAGAAUUGUUUGACUAGCAACAGUAGCUGUUGUUUAACACACAGCAAAGGAGAUAGGCUUCUUUUUUCUUUUUUUACUGUGGCAGAGGUUUGAGUCUGCCAUGGGGGAUUCUGGGGGGUUUCAAGCCUUUUUCCCCUUUGCAUCUCAUGUCACAGUAGGCAUGCUCCAUCAUGAAUGGUCCCCACCUCACCACGAAGAAUGCACAAGGUCCUACAGGGCAGACCCCGUGGGCCGCCUGUCUUCUUCCUGGCCAGGUUGGACAUGGGUGACCAUGCGUACACACUGUUUUCCAUAGAAAGACACACAUAAGCACUGACUACACAGCCCGUUGGGUUGCAUCAGGUGCUAACAGACGGUGCAGCUGUUUGACCGGCAAAAACAUCUUGCUUGGUCUAACGGUCACUGUGGUCAGCAGCAUGCUGGGGUCUGGCCUUGGUUUGGGGAGACCACGGCCCAGACUCCAGGGAAGUCCCUGGGAUGGGGCUGCCCAUCCUUCUGCAGUGCGUUUACCCUCCUAUUGGGUUUUUUUUUUUCCACUUUUUAAAAAACAGCUUUAUUGAGGUCAAAUUUACAUACUAUAAACGUCACUUGUCUGGAGUGUUCAUCUCAGUGAGGUUGAGAACCCUGACCUGGCCAUGCAGCUGUCACCGUAAACCAGAUGCACCGUGUUUCCACCAGCCCAUGGCCCUCCCACCCACCCCGACGCCCACCCAUGCACUGUCGUUCCCUGUAAACUGCCUUGCAGAAUGUGUCAUAUAAACAGGACCUCUGGGUCUGGUGUCCUUCCUGGCAUACAGUUUUUGAGAGUCAUACAUGGUGUAGCAUGUGCUGGUAUUUCUUCCCUUUUUAUUGAACAGACAUUGUUUUAGUUUUGUUUGUCUUGCUUUUUACCAGAGUUAAGGAUUCAUCCAUGGUUCUGCACUGGGCUGUCUGGGGGCAUUGUGUUGUCACGUGUGGAGGCAGGCUGCUCCCAGCAUCUGGUGGAGAGGCUGGCGAUGCUGAUAAACAAGCCCAGCAGCAAACGUGACCUGUGCCCACACGCCAGCGGUGCUGAAGCUGAGACUCCCUGGGUUGGGCCUCAGGAAACAUCCUCUGACCCUCAAAGCACAUGUUCAAAGCCAAGUGUCACCUGAGGGACUCUUCCUUUGUGUGUACCACAUAUCAUUGAUGUUCUGUUUGUCUAAUUUAUAUGUAUGUUUAAAAUAUAAACUCAUUUGCAAAAUUGAUACUAUUUUUUACCAUUUUGGAAAAUUUUGCAAUCUCCAAAAAUAUUAUUCAACAGGUUGCAUUGUCCACCAGGGAGAAAGAGGAGGAAGAGGAGUAGAUAGUUCUUGUUUCCUGGUUGAUGUCUCAGUAGAACUUGGUUCUGGAAAUUUAUUGACAGAAAAGGGACAAAUGGCAUGGCUUGUACAGCUUAAAUUCUAGGAGCUGCAAGAAUCGUUGGGGGCUUAUAAUAAAGGAAUUUAAUAAAGGACAUUAAGCUUACUUAGGAAAACAUUGCACCAUAAUUUUUGUGGCAUAACAGUGUUAUGUACUCUGGUUAUAAUUUUCCACUUCAUCUCCAGACCUUUGAAUCUCAAUGUUAUUCUUAACAUUAACGAAUAAAGUUUACAGGUGGCAGGAGUUAGAAGAAACAGAUCCAAAAAACAAAACUGAAGACGUUUUUAUCACCCAGCCUAACACCUCUCUUGAGAAAAAAGAAAUCAACCAGAAUUAAAAUAUU